rnacentral:rRNA from 1 species
ACUGGCGUUAUUGGUUCCUCCCUUCUGAAGAACCGCGAUGUCAUUAAUUUGGUGUCGCGGGAAAUCAGGACUGUUACUUUGAAAAAAUUAGAGUGUUUAAAGCAGGCUCGCGCUUGAAUACAUUAGCAUGGAAUAAUGAAAUAGGACGUUUGAUUCUAUUUUGUUGGUUUCUAGGAUCGACGUAAUGAUUAAUAGGGAUAGUUGGGA